rnacentral:rRNA from 1 species
GCGUUAAAGGCGGGGACCGCAAGGCCUGCUCCAUAAGGAUGGGCCCGCACAUCAUCAGCUUGUUGGUGGGGUAACGGCCUACCAAGGCUUACGAUUAGCUGGUCUGAGAGGACGACCAGCCGCACUGGGACUGAGAUACUGCCCAGACUUCUACGGAAGGCUGCAGUCGAGGAUCAUUUGCAAUGGGGGAAACCCUGACAAUGCGACGCUGCGUGGAGGAUGACGGUCUUCGGAUUGUAAACUCCUGUCAUACGGGACGAAUAAAUGAGGGUUAACAGCCCUUUGAAGGGACGGUACCGUAAGAGGAAGCCACGGCUAACUCUGUGCCAGCAGCCGCGGUAAUACAGAGGUGGCGAGCGUUGUUCGGAUUUACUGGGCGUAAAGGGCGCGUAGGCGGCAAGGUAUGUGAGGUGUGAAAUCCAUGGGCUCAACCCAUGAAGUGCGCCUCAAACUGCUUUGCUUGAGUUCGGGAGGGGAGAUCGGAAUACAGGGUGUAGCGGUGAAAUGCGUUGAUAUCCUGUAGAACACCGGUGGCGAAGGCGGAUCUCUGGAACGUUACUGACGCUGAGGCGCGAAAGUAGGGGGAGCAAACAGGAUUAGAUACCCUGGUAGUC